CCAGGCAGGUAAUCAGCGGCACCUGGGGGUGGUCAUGUGACCCCCUGUCCAGGAACUGAGGGAGCGCUGAGUGCAGACUACCAUACACAACAGAAAUCCACAGUCACCCUGCCCACUGUACAAAAUGCAUAUUCUAUAGUUCUACUCACCGACCCCCAGCCACUCCAGUCUGUAUCCAAGCACUGGAUCGUUCGGAACGCGAGGAACUGGAAGAUAAAAAGAAAAAAAAAAUACACAAAACAAGCUCUUCAACUAUUCAUUGUGCAAUCGAAUGCCACCAGCAGCAUAGAAACAAUAUCUUACUCAGAAACCCCCAGCCUCUCCGGGUUAUAUCUUUUAUGUUCUGGUUAUGACUGCUUGCCAUGAACCCGCAGUAGAAGCAUGCAGUGCUGUGCCAGGCUCCAUGGCAAAGCUCAACGUCUGUGAAUUUCUCAUUGGCUGCAAUGGAUAGUUAAAAAGCCAGGGAGGGCUACUGAAAAAUCAGGGCUGCUGAAAUCAAAAACGGACAAAAAAAACGAACUGCUCUCACUCAGUGGCCUAUACAAGUGUACUGAAAAGGGGACAAUCUAUUUUUCAAUGUUUUUAAUUAUCUUGCUUUGCUACACAUCUCUAUGACUUGAUACAGCUUACCCUGUACUAAAUAUCAAAUACUCAUUUAAAAUGGCAUUAAAUAAAAAAUGACAAAAUACUAUUAUUCUAUU